rnacentral:tmRNA from 1 species
GGGGAUGCAACGGUUUCGACGGGAAGAGAGAACAUCUGAGAGCGGGUAGUGGUGCGGAGCCACUUAAAAAUCCGUAUCUUAAAUAUAAUCGACAAUAACAGAUUAGCUUACGCUGCCUAAUUAAUGGCGGCUGCUCUUUAACCGAUUACCGCAUCAGUUAAAAGGGUAUCAUUUUAGCGGUGAACGUGAGCUGUCAAAGCUUUGCGGCAGCCAUGACCUAUGAAGCUACCAAACUGUCAGGUUUGUUUGUGAACCGGACAGGGCGGGAAUCUUAAUCACAAACUGCACCCGGAGCGCUCGGGUCGGAACUUUUUUCGGACAGGAGUUCGACUCUCCUCAUCUCCACCA